GCUUUUGAUAAGUUAUAGACAGUUUUUCUGCUUUGUCUGUUUCCAAAUAGAACGUUGUUGGUUAAUGAACCUACAAUGGUAUCGCAAAACUGAAAAACAAAAAUGACUGACACAAGAACUCUAGGCCUGAAUUAAGGACACCUAACCUGUUUUUUGGUGAAUCAACAUCUGAUGCAGCUCUUCCUCCAAGUGCAACUCAAAGCCAUGGGUUAAGUCUUAUCUAAGGCUAUGAUGCAGUUAUAUUACUGCAAGUUGGUUACGUGAAAGCUGAAACAAUGCUUCAAACUGCCCAUGAACAAGUCAUGACCUUAAAGAAACAUAGUAUGUUUCUGGCUCUGUUAGCAGCAAAAAAAAAAUCAAUAUGCAGAGUCAGUUAGUAGAAACAAUCAUCUCUUACGCUUGAUUCGUGCUCAGAUAAACUCAAAUUUGGAACAAUGAACAUGUGGUUCCUCCUUAACCCACCUGGAAAG